rnacentral:rRNA from 1 species
ACGCACGCUGGCGGCGUGCCUCAUCCCUGCAAGUAGAACGCACAGUUUAUACCGUAGCUUGCUACACCAUAGACUGUGAGUUGCGAACGGGUGAGUAACGCGUAGGUAACCUGCCUGGUAGCGGGGGAUAACUAUUGGAAACGAUAGCUAAUACCGCAUAAUAUUGGUUAUUGCAUGAUAAUUGAUUGAAAGAUGCUAUUGCAUCACUACCAGAUGGACCUGCGUUGUAUUAGCUAGUAGGUGAGGUAACGGCUCACCUAGGCGACGAUACAUAGCCGACCUGAGAGGGUGAUCGGCCACACUGGGACUGAGACACGGCCCAGACUCCUACGGGAGGCAGCAGUAGGGAAUCUUCGGCAAUGGACGAAAGUCUGACCGAGCAACGCCGCGUGAGUGAAGAAGGGUUUCGGAUCGUAAAGCUCUGUUGUAAGAGAAGAACGGGUGUGAGAGUGGAAAGUUCACACUGUGACGGUAUCUUACCAGAAAGGGACGGCUAACUACGUG